rnacentral:rRNA from 1 species
AUUGAACGCUGGCGGCAGGCCUAACACAUGCAAGUCGAGCGCGAAAAUUCCUUCGGGAAUGAGUAGAGCGGCGGACGGGUGAGUAACGCGUAGGAAUCUGCCCGGUAGUGGGGGACAACAGUCGGAAACGUCUGCUAAUACCGCAUACGCCCUAAGGGGGAAAGCAGGGGAUCUUCGGACCUUGCGCUAUCGGAUGAGCCUGCGUCGGAUUAGCUUGUUGGUGGGGGUAAUGGCCUACCAAGGCGACGAUCCGUAGCUGGUCUGAGAGGAUGAUCAGCCACACUGGGACUGAGACACGGCCCAGACUCCUACGGGAGGCAGCAGUGGGGAAUAUUGGACAAUGGGGGAAACCCUGAUCCAGCCAUGCCGCGUGUGUGAAGAAGGCCUCGGUUGUAAGUACGACUUCUAGUAGGGAGGAAAGGUUA